GACGAACCGUGCGACCGUUAUUCGGAAUCACUGGGCUUAAAGCGCGUGUAGGCGGGAUGGCACGUCGGUCGCUGAAAGCCCCCGGCUCAACCGGGGAAGGGGCGCCGAUACGACCGUCCUGGAGGGACGUAGGGGGACCUGGAACUUCCGGUGGAGCGGUGAAAUGCGUUGAGAUCGGAAGGAACGCCCGUGGCGAAAGCGAGGUCCUGGACGUCUGCUGACGCUGAGACGCGAAAGCCAGGGGAGCGAACGGG
rnacentral:rRNA from 1 species